CCUACGGGAGGCAGCAGUGAGGAAUAUUGGUCAAUGGUCGGGAGACUGAACCAGCCAAGCCGCGUGAGGGAGGAAGGUACAGAGUAUCGUAAACCUCUUUUGUCAGGGAACAAAGACUGGGACGCGUCCCCGGAUGAGUGUACCUGAAGAAAAAGCAUCGGCUAACUCCGUGCCAGCAGCCGCGGUAAUACGGAGGAUGCGAGCGUUAUCCGGAUUUAUUGGGGUUAAAGGGUGCGCAGGCGGGCUGUUAAGUCAGCGGUCAAAGCCCGGGGCUCAACCCCGGCCCCGCGUUGAAACUGGGCAGCCUCGAGUUGGAGAGAAGUAUGCGGAAUGCGCGGUGUAGCGGUGAAAUGCAUAGAUAUCGCGCAGAACCCGGAUUGCGAAGGCAGCAUGCCGGCCCCACACUGCCGCUGAGGCACGAAAGCGUGGGUAUCGAACAGGAUUAGAUACCUAGUAGUC
rnacentral:rRNA from 1 species